rnacentral:rRNA from 1 species
GAUGAACGCUGGCGGCGUGCCUAAUACAUGCAAGUAGAACGCUGAAGGAAGGAGCUUGCUCUUUCCGGAUGAGUUGCGAACGGGUGAGUAACGCGUAGGUAACCUGCCUGGUAGCGGGGGAUAACUAUUGGAAACGAUAGCUAAUACCGCAUAACAGUAGAUGUUGCAUGAUAUCUACUUAAAAGGUGCAAUUGCACCACUACCAGAUGGACCUGCGUUGUAUUAGCUAGUUGGUGAGGUAACGGCUCACCAAGGCGACGAUACAUAGCCGACCUGAGAGGGUGAUCGGCCACACUGGGACUGAGACCCGGCCCAGACUCCUACGGGAGGCAGCAGUAGGGAAUCUUCGGCAAUGGACGGAAGUCUGACCGAGCAACGCCGCGUGAGUGAAGAAGGUUUUCGGAUCGUAAAGCUCGGUUGUAAGAGAAGAACGAGUGUGAGAGUGGAAAGUUCACACUGUGACGGUAUCUGACCAGAAAGGGACGGCUAACUACGUG